rnacentral:rRNA from 1 species
UACGUAGGGGGCAAGCGUUGUCCGGAAUCAUUGGGCGUAAAGCGCGCGUAGGCGGCCCGAUAAGUCCGCUGUAAAAGCCCAGGGCUCAACCCUGGAAAGCCGGUGGAUACUGUCGGGCUAGAGUCCGGAAGAGGCGAGUGGAAUUCCUGGUGUAGCGGUGGAAUGCGUAGAUAUCAGGAGGAACACCGAUGGCGAAGGCAGCUCGCUGGGACGGUACUGACGCUAAGGCGCGAAAGCGUGGGGAGCGAACAGG